CUCAUCUUUGCAUAUGGGAGCUCCCAUGAUAUCUAUCAGAAGCUCUCUCUUCUCAGAUACUACAAAUUUGGCCUGAGUUGCUUCUUUCUGGAUUUUCUUUGCAUCCAAACGGUUCAAUUAUUGCAUGUGGUUUUGAGUAUAUAUUUUGUUGCUGUUUGAUAUAUAUGCCUAUCGAGACGAAGGUUAUCCAGAAGCGUUUGUUGGAUCAGAAUUUUAUUCCUUUCUGAGAUAAUUCUUCUAUUAAGGAUGUGCGAAACAUGGAAAAUUAUUACCUCGCAGUGAUUGAAGCUUAAUUCCUUUGGUGAGCCAAAAACAGAGACUUCCCAAUGAAACUCAAGGCAUUAUAAAACAGAGUUGAAUUCUCCAGCCAAAAAGGUCAGUAUUUAUUUUUCAGUAUUUUUUGUUUCUUUGUUUGGCCCUAAUGUCAAUUUUUGCUAUGAAGGUGUUGCAUGUGUACAUGUGUGUGGUUUUUUGGGAGAAUUACACAUAAGUAUCACACAGCACUGGCAAAAAGGCCAAAAAAAAAAUCAAAAAAAAAGAAAAACAGAAAAAGACAACUACA